rnacentral:lncRNA from 1 species
CUUAACUAUUGGACAAUGAUAUUUUACUUCCAUAAAUUUACAAAUUAUAAAAAUUUAUUAAAAAAGCAAAGGAAACUAAUAAAGGAACUUAGAUAAUGAUAUAUGUUCUAUGCUGGUGUUUUUUUAUAUUUGUUUUGUAGGUUAUCAAUGAUCAUGGAUCAUAUAUAAUGGGGUUUCAGUGAUCAACAGAGAUGGGAUGCAAUCAGGAGAAUCUAAGUUUUGCUAUGAUGAAGAAGAGACACAUGUUAAUCUUUUCAACCCAACUUGUCAACUCCUUUCGUAUUUAUUGAUAUCUAUAUCAUGACCCAUUUAUUGUGAUAUUUUAUUUUCUUGUCCUCUACCCAUUUUCCCAUUUAUUGUAUAUUUGUAUAUUACAUACAUGAACAUAUUUAAGAAGUGAUGUUUUUGGUGUCUCAUGCUGGUGGGAAUUCCUAGGUUUUUUAGGCUUUGUUUAUAUGGACAGAACAUGGUUCUAAAUUAUAUAUUCUCUAUAUGCAUAAUUUAUAAUUUCAGUAUUUUCUUUUGUUUUUUCUUUUAUCAUUUUAUUUUAAUGUAUUUCAUUAUAGAUUUAUGACCUUUAUUUUACAUUUCCUUUUUUCUUUCAGAAUGAUUUUAUGCAUGGAGGGGGAAUGCAUUUGAAACUUGGUUAUUGUACACAUGUUAGAUUUUUAAUAUGAAACUAAAAAAGAAAACGUGUUGCUAUGUAAGCUUUUUCAUUUUUUUCUUUUAUAUUGUAAUAACCUUAGCUAUGGCAAUGCUAUAUAUGUUUCAUUCAUAUAUAUAUGGAGUAAUUACACCAGAAUAAUAGCAAAGAUAAAUUACAACAUAAGAAAUGCUCAUUAAUCUAACUUAAUUUAAGACAACAAAUUAAUUAAACUCGAUUUCUUUAUAAGUAUAGUAAUUUCAAUUAACGUGUAUGCACAAAUAAAUUACUCUAAAGGUUUUAACUAUAUAGAUUAUUCUUAUUAAUUAUAUAUCCAACUUAAUCUAUGUCUUUUCUUCUUUCUUCUAUUAACUAUCUCCAAUUCUUCUAGCUAGUAUGAAAACUAUUAUGAUUUUUAUUAUUAGUGUAGUAAAAUUUAAUUAUUGUACAUUAAAUUUUGGAUUGCUAUUUCUUGUAACAUAUUCAUUUUUUCUAAAAUCAACAAAACCUUGUUGUUUUUAGAUUUUCACUCUUUAUUUUUAUAAAUGAUAAGUAUAUUUAAGUUAAUAGAUCUGAAAAAAGCAUACUAACUAAUUUAUUGCAGGUAUUUUGUGAUUUUGUUGUGGAUUAGAUAAGGCCUAGCACACUACAGAGAACAAUUUUAAUUGUAAGUCCAAUUGUUGAAUUCCUAAAUGUUGGUGUGAAUCCCAUACAAUGUUAAUGAUUUCUUUCACCUCUUAGCUUUUGAAUUUGGCAAGAUUUGGUGGUUAACCAGUGACUUGAAAGAGGAGGGUUGUUGGAGGCUACACAAGCAUGAACUUCAUGGAAAGGUACUUCAAAACUUGCUCACUUUGUGGUCUAAUGUGUUGCACCACUCUAAAUACAAGACCUUUGAUGGUCCACAAGAAUAUUCAAGCAACCCAAAUUUUAGCAUUAUUAUAAUUUCUGGUUUUAUGUUUGAUAUUUUUUUAUCAAUUAAAUACAUUUUUCACUACAAAAUAUGUGUUAUGAUUUAUUUAUUCAUAAGAAAAAGAUUUAUACUAGAAAUAGUAUAUAGUAUUGACACUUCUUUUUUUAUCUUGAAAUUGAUACCAUUAUAGCUUUGAUAACUAUAAAAACUAAACCGAAAGACCCAUAUAAUGUUUUGGAGCAUUGGGAUCUUCAUUUGAUAUAUUAUAUUGUCAAAAAAUAUAAUAAUGAUUUGAUUUUUAUUUAUUUAAUUUGAAUAUACUAUCUUUCUAAAAAUUAAAAGGAAUAAUAAAAAGUGUUGAUAGAUAGAUAUUGAUAUUUAAUAUAAUGAAUAAUUAAUGAUUAAAAAAGAUAAAUAAUAUUAAAUUAUAAAAAAAAUAAUUUUAUUUGUUUAUAGGCUUAAAUAAACUAUAUAUUGGUUAUUAUAUUCAUGUUCUGACUUAUAAUUAGUUUUAUUUGUUUAUAGGCUUAAAUAAAAUGCAUAUUGGUUAUUAUAAUAUAUCAAUAACAUACUAUAGAAUAUGCAUAUGUAUAACUAAAAACAUGUAACAAUUUUUCAUAUUUUUUUCUUUUCUUUUUCGAAAUAAGAAAUAUUCUUAAUACUAAUAAAUAAUUGGCCUCUAUACAUUGAAAUAGUCUAUUUUUAAAUAUGUGCAUGUCUUUUUUUCCUUUUUUCCCAUCUGACCAAUAAAAAAGGAGGACUGAUGAUUGAAUGAGAAAUGUUACUUCUAUAAGAAAGCAACUUAUAAAAAGGUUAAUGAAAGAAAUGCCCUGUUUAAAGUCUAACAUGUCAUGAUUUUUGGAUUUGAAAAUUUCUAAGAAAAUAUAGCAUGAAAAAUAAUGGUAAGGAAAAUUUCUUUUUACAUCUCUUUUAUUUAUUUUUCUCCCUUAUUUAUGGUUUUAAAUUUCUUGAGAAGUCAUCCGUUUAGACUUAUAUUCCUUUGGUAUUUUCUUUGUGUAUUUGAAUUUUUUUAUAUUCACUACUUUGUGUGCAUAACAUUUAUUUUUAGUUAAUUGUUUAUGUCAUGUUUCAUUUAUCCUCUUAUUGUUAUAGGGUACCAUGAAUCAUUAUUUUUAACUUUUUGAUGUUAUAUCAUAUUUAGAAAUAUGUUACUCUUCAAGAAUUUUUUUUUUUACUAAUUAAACACUAUUUUAUUACAAAGUUUCUCUAUUCAAUUAGUGAAAGACAUUUUAUCCUUAAGUGAUAAGCUUUAACUACAUAUUUUUCUCUAACUCAUAUUUAUUUUUCUCAAUUUUUUCUACAUUUCAUUUUAUAUUGGUUCUAGUGUUUUUUUUUUCUUCAAAUUUUUGUGAAAGUUUUAUACAUAGUUUCAAUUGUACUUAUUAGUUGUUACAUGUAUGAUUUAGAGUUUUUCUAUUCUUUCUAUAUUUGUUUACAGAUUGCAAGAGAAACUGCUUAUCCAAAAGAAGAUAACCAUUGUGUUGAAGGAGGUGAUCUUGAAAACCAUGAAGAUUACAUCAAUAAAGUUAUUUGGAGGUUGAACUAUAUUUUUUGUAAAAUAUAGGUGUUAAUAGUUGCACUGAUAUUUGUUUUUUUUUU